rnacentral:misc_RNA from 1 species
CGCACAUUGCGCCCUUUGGUAUUCCUUAGGGCAUGCCUGUUCGAGCGUCAUAAAACCCCCUCAAGCGCAGCUUGUUGUUGGGCGUCUGUCCCGCCCCCGGCCGGACUCGCCCCAAAUCCAUUGGCGGCCCCCGCAUUGGGCUAUCGAGCGCAGCAGAAUUGCGCCUCGAGCACUGCGCGCGGGUGACCACUGAGCAACCCCCCAUCACUUUGACCUCGGAUCAGGUAGGGAUACCCGCUGAACUUAA